rnacentral:rRNA from 1 species
GCUGGUGGCGAUAGCGAAGAGGUCACACCCGUUCCCAUGCCGAACACGGAAGUUAAGCUCUUCAGCGCCGAUGAUAGUUGGGGGGUCUCCUCUGUGAGAGUAGGACGCCGCCAGCC